rnacentral:rRNA from 2 species
AUUCGACCUGAGCUCAGGCAAG